GAGUUUGAUCAUGGCUCAGGACGAACGCUGGCGGCGUGCCUAAUACAUGUAAGUCGAACGAACGGAUAAAGAGCUUGCUCUUUUGAAGUUAGUGGCGGACGGGUGAGUAAUACGUGGGUAACCUGCCUCACAGCUGGGGAUAACAUCGAGAAAUCGAUGCUAAUACCGAAUGUGCUGAACAUCAUAAGAUGUUCAAGUGAAAGACGGUUUCGGCUGUCACUGUGAGAUGGACCCGCGCUGGAUUAGCUAGUUGGUAAGGUAAUGGCUUACCAAGGCGACGAUCCAUAGCCGACCUGAGAGGGUGAUCGGCCACAUUGGGACUGAGACACGGCCCAAACUCCUACGGGAGCAGCAGUAGGGAAUCUUCGGCAAUGGACGAAAGUCUGACCGAGCAACGCCGCGUGAGCGAAGAAGGCCUU
rnacentral:rRNA from 1 species